CACAGCCAAUGAGCCAAAGAUAAAGAAACACCUAUCCUAUAAUAAUUUAGAGCAAUAUACCUCCAUAAUGGAACAUCUAUAUAUAUAAAGAUCUGGUCUAUCUCUUUUUCUUAGCUCCGCACAUUUCAACGCUAGAGUAGCAAAAGAUUGAGCCUCUUGUACAGGCCAAUCAGGCACAACGGGGUCAAGCAUUUCCUUGAAAGUUCCUUUACUAAUUGCCCUUGAAACUUGGGUCUAUGUAACAAAACGUUCCUGCCGCAGAUGUCAUGUGGAAUUGCGUGACGCUAUCAGCUAUCGAUGCGGGGACUAACCGCGCUAAACCAACGUCGCUGAUCUUGCUCACGUAGUUUUUGUCUAAGAGUAUAUUGGCUGGUUUUAGGUCGCGGUGAACUAAAGGUUCUGGCUUAGCUUGAUGAAGGAAUGAGAGUGCGGUAGCAAUCUCCGCCGCUAUUUCAAAACGUUUCCUCCACGAAAGCGGUGGAGAGUUUCCAGUACGAAAAAGUCUAUCCUCUAAGCUCCCAUUUUCCAUGAACUCGUAAACCAAACAUCCAUAUUCAGGACAUGCACCAAGGAGAAGAACCAUGUGAGGAUGCCUUAUGGAACAUAGAACCUCAACCUAUAAAAUAAGAACAAAAAUAUGUAUGAUUUACGCAAAAGCAUAAAACAAAAUAGAAAAUAGAUAAAAUCUUACUUCUUGUUGAAA
rnacentral:lncRNA from 1 species